rnacentral:rRNA from 1 species
UACGUAGGGUGCAAGCGUUGUCCGGAAUUAUUGGGCGUAAAGAGCUCGUAGGCGGUCUGUCGCGUCUGCUGUGAAAACUCGGGGCUUAACCCCGGGCCUGCAGUGGGUACGGGCAGACUAGAGUGCGGUAGGGGAGACUGGAAUUCCCGGUGUAGCGGUGAAAUGCGCAGAUAUCGGGAGGAACACCGGUGGCGAAGGCGGUUCUCUGGGCCUUGCCUGGACACUGAGGAGCGAAAGCGUGGGGAGCGAACAGGAUUAGGAUACCC